AACCUACGCAUCUUCCGCUCUCUUCUUUUUCAACCUCUCCUAAAUCCCUAAAACAUUAGUUCUUUUCCUAAGCCGCAUAUGCACAGACCUAGUCAUUCCUCUUCCUUCAAAUCGUAGCAACUCGCAAGCCGCCGUCUCCGCCUCAAGACCGCCAUCGCCGCCUCAAGACCGCCAUCGCCGCCUCAAGACCGCCAUCGCCACCUCCAGACCUCCAUCGUCAGUUGCCCAGUUUUCCACACAGCUUUGUUCGUUCGUCGCAAGCAGCCAUCGCCACCUCCGGCGCUUUCCCCUUCGCAGCACAGCCGUGGCAUACCAAAUGUGAGGGCCAAAGGGAAAGCAUUUGUUUGUGUUGCUAACAUUUUAAAGCGAAUGCAAGCUGAAGAAUCUAUGAACUUAAAGAGCACAGGCUAUAACUGAUUAUAAAUUAGAAGUUUCCAGAGGCCUCUGUUUGGUCCACACAAGAUCCAGGGAAUUGGAGCUAGAGUUUUGGAAGUUAAUCUUCUUGAUGAAGUAAUUCAAGUAAGAUAUGAUUAUUUUUUUCUGAUGAAGUAAUACCAUCUCGGAGUGAUAUUCUUGCUAGAGUUUAAAAUGGAACUGGCAAAACAUUUGCCUUCUGUAUUGCUGCACUAGAAAAAAUUGAUCCAGACAACAAUCUCAUUCAAGGAAUCUUGUUUGUACUGGUAUGCCUUUUCCUGUGGUUCUCUAUAUGGAAAUAUGUUCCUUGUUGCAUAGGCAAUUUCUGCACUUAUUGGAGGCAAUGGCUACUUACUCCCUGGAUCAAGAUAUAUUGGAGGCUGCAGCUUAAUUUGUUGCAGGGAUAUGAUGCUAACGUUGAUGCCCAGGUUGCUUAUGAUGAUUUUGUUGCUGCUGGAUCAUUUGCAGUUGCAAGAGAGAAAAGCCAUUGAAGUAGUGCCGGAUUUGAAGGCUUAUUUGGGUGCAACAUACUUAAGUAGUAUCAAUUGAGUAGUAUAUAUUUUCAUGACCUUUUUAUUUUUAAUGAACAUGACCAUAAUUUUUGUUGUAAAGAAUUUUGAUGUUUAAAUAUAUUUUCAAUUUUCAAUUUAGUGUGUCCAUGAAUUUGUUGAUGA